AUUCAUUUGGUUAUGAAAUAUAAGUAUACUAAUAUAUUAUACAAUUUAAUUAAUUAUAGUUCAUCGUAUGGUUAAUUCAACCAGUGGUGAGGGAAUUGAUUGUAUAUAGUCAGCCUUGAUUGCAUCAGAUUCUUCGCCCGUGAAAAUUAUACAAAGGAAUGCAACAUUUUGCUGUUGCUCUAGAGGAUGGAUUCUCCUGUUCAUUUCUUUCAUUCGUGGGACUUAACUACAGAUGUAUAUGCGUGAUUAAAAUCAAUGGAUCCGCCACUUUGUGGAACUUAGUAGUGUAAGACAGACGCGUACUUUGAAGAACCUUGAUGUGAUAACUGUGACCCCCUUUUCACUAGGAAUAUAAAUUUUGUCAAGCAGUGAUUUUUGAGAUUCAGUGAUUGAAUCCAAAUUUGUGUUUGUCUUUAAAAUACAAACUAAAAUGAAUUCUUUCACAAUCGUAAUACUGGAUUAUAACUUAUAUAAAUAUUACGCAACUUGAAUAAAAAAAAUUAUUAGAA